AUACAUGCAGACCUAAAUACAUAUAUACACACACUAUAUAUAUAUGUAUAUAUAUACAAUUAUUUUUUUUAAUGCAAAAUACCUUUGCCUGUUUUAAUUGCACUAAUUAUAUUAAUAUUGUUAAUUAGCCAUUUAUGAUGAAACCAUGUAAUUAAUAUUAAUAAUAAUAAUAUGUUCUUAAAUAGAAUCUUCUUUCACUCCGGACAUACUAACUUCUGUAUUACUAUUGUUUAUAUCUGGAAACCUAUGUAAAAAUAUUGAAGAGAGAGGAUUAUAGCUUCUGCUCAUACUUGCAUGCUGUGAACGAUUCCAGUUCUUUUUUUUUUCUUUUUUCCUUUUUUCUUGUUCUUCAGUUCCAGCUCUGAUUGAACCUGUGAUCUAGCAUUCUACCAGGGUCCACAGUGUCCAACGUGUCUUUCUUUUCUAAGACAGCAGGAUGUGAUCUGAGGGAGAUAUGGCUGCUAAUUCUAGCUAUGUGGAGUGACCACAUAGAAGCCGCCCCAUCGGCUUCCUACCUCCCCACCAUAAUGUUUUUCUCUCCUUGUUUUGCCAUUUGAGUAACCUAGGCAAAUUCGAACCAUUUCGGUCGGAAGUCAACAUCCAGAACUCUUCCUGUCUUUAUAUCUUCAUCAAAGUUUUCAAGAUUUUUUUCUUAGUUCCUCAAAUAUAUUCAAGAGAUUUUGUAUUCUUCAACUUUUCAAGUGGUUCCUUUUGUAAUCAUUUUUUAAUAUUUUUCUUCAUAUAAAUGACUAAGAUAGAAUUUUAGUAGUCGUAGUACAAGUAGUGGUAGUAGUGUAACUAGUGGUAGUAGUGGUGGUGGUGGUAGUGGCUCGUUAGUAAUAGUAGUGAUGGAGGUAGGGUGGGGGAUGUUUGGAAGUUUACCAAUUGUGAAUUUAAAUCAUGAACAAAGUGGUUUAGCUAUCCAGAACUUUUGACCGAAAUCUUGCAAGACAAAAAGAGACAGCUCUUGGAUUCCAGGGGUUGGUAGCUAGGUGGUUGGGUGGCAAUGGGGUUGGUUUAUUUCAGGUUUCAAAGAGUUCUGUGAGGAUUUCAUUUCUUUCGUUCUUUCUUUUUUGAGGUAGAGGCUCUUCAGAUAUUCAAGGUCCCAUGGUCCCCUCCAUGCCCUACACUGGUGAUAGAGCCACUGAUACAUGUUAUCAUAUAGGCCUUGCCAAUAUUACAGAUUGCAGUUAGACAGUGAUUGGUGGUGGUUGCACUGAAGAUUUAAAAAAACACAUUCCCCCCCACCUAGUUUUGGGUCCUUCUACACUGCUCAGUUCCUUGGAUGGCUUUAGUUUCUUGGCACGUAGUUUUGCACAAUAAUGGUCAUUGUAUGCCAUUCUUGGAAUCUCACCAUGAAGCUUUCUUUAUUCAUUGGUUUCUAGUCAAUUAGCUCUCUGGUGCUUCUUCGGUAAGCACCAUGCCCACAACAUAGAUGUGUUAGUCUUUAUGACUGGAGUGGACGAAGGUCCUACCACCAUCAUCACUGUCAAUCUUUCUGCUCUUUGUCCAACUCACUUCACUUAAGCCUAAGAUGUCCAGCUAGUAUCUAUCAAACUCUCUCAACAAUUGGGUUAGUCUUCCAGUUUAGUACAGUUUUUGUACAUUCUAAGUUCCAGUCUUAGCUGUGGCUUUGGUCCUCAGAAUCAGGUUCUUUGAUUAAAACAGAGGUCACAUGAUUUACCAUAUUUAAUAAGAUUAGGCUGGUUUCCAGCUUGUUAAAUUUGUCCUUUGCUAUGGUGAAGUAUUCUGUGGUCACAGACUCUGAAGAUAUCUUCUUUCCACCUAUCUUCUGUCAGAUUUUGGAGGCCCUGUUAAGGGCCACAGACUUGCCCUUUCCCAUUCAAAUAAAACCAUUAAAAAAAUAACAAUAAAAUUUUUUUUAAAUAACAAAUUUCAGAAGUUUAACUUUUUUAAUUAAAUUUCUGGUUUUCUAACUUUUAAUUUUUUUUUUUUGUUAAAUAAAAAAUAUUCUCAAUAUCUCCCCCAGAAAAAACUCCCACCCCAAAAGAUUACCCCCUACCAAAACAA